GAAAGGGUAUGGCGACUUUAUGGAUGGUUGAAGGUCCUGCCUAGAGAUCUGCAAGUGUGUUUGAACUCAAGUGUACUUAGACUGGAGAGCUGGCAACAACCAGCCGGUUGUGCUAUCCCAGAGGUGAACCAUGGUCUAAGUAACUGCGAGGAGAUACCAUGAACCCCUGAGUACAUGAUGAAGAAGCAAGAAGAGAAAGAAGCCAAUACAAGAAGCAUUAGUGAUCAGGCUACCUCUGGGCACAG
rnacentral:lncRNA from 1 species